GCGAUUCGGCAUGGUCUGAUUUUAUCUGUUUUCUUGCGUUUUUGGUUUGUUUUUGUUAGAUUUUAUUGAAGUAUCAUUUUUGUUGUUGUAUGGUUUAAGGUUUGAUUCUUUUUGUGAUAGUUUAUUUGUACUGUGGAGGGCUGUUAUAUUGUUUUUGUGGAAGCUGAUUUUGUUUGUUGUACCUUGUGUAUCAGGGUUUAUUGAAUUUUAUUAUUUAUUUUUAUUUCCCGAUUCUGAAGGAGUUAAUGGUUUAUUUUGGUUACUGUUUCAUUAGUAUCAAUAAUGUUCUGUUGGUAGUGAGAUGUUAGUCGUCUUUGGUGGUUUCUGGUUUUUCAAGAAAUGAAUUUAAUUCAUGCGCUUUAUUUAUGUUUUAUUAUUUGUUUAUUCUUUUUUAUUUGGCGUUAAGAUUAAGGGGGAUUAGCUCUUUGUUUUGUUUUUAUAACUUUAUUUUUAAUUUAGUUUUGUGGAUUUUAUGGUGAUUUUCGAUUUGAUUAUGUUAAAAUUUUAUUUUUUCUUUUUUUUAUUUUGUUUUGGUUUAAGCUUUUUAUUGAGAUGUUUUUUUUAUUUUGUUUUGGUUGGUAAUUAUUGUGGAAUUAGUAAAUUGUUUAUUUUUGUUUUGUUUGUUUUGGUGUUAAUUUCUUUUGAGGAAUUAGGCAAAGGUUUUAUGUCCGCCUGUUUAGCAAAAACAUCUUUUCUUGUUAAUUUUUGAAGUAUGGUCUGCCCACUGACUUAUAGGUUGAAGGGCCGCGGUAUUUUGACCGUGCAAAGGUAGCAUAAUCAUUAGUUCUUUAAUUGUGAUCUGGUAUGAAUGGCUUGACGAGAUAUAAUCUGUCUUUGAUUGGAUUAUUUUAUUGAAUUUGGGGUUUGAGUUAAAAUUCUUAAAUGUUUUUAUGGGACGAGAAGACCCUAUAGAGUUUUACUUAUCUUUAUAUAAUAAUUUUUUUGUUUGUGUGUGAGUGUUAUGUGUAGUUUUAGUUUUGUUGGGGUGAUGGGAGGAAUUUUCUUAACUCCUCUUUGUAUUUGGUAUAUUUAUUUGUGUUUGUUUUGAUCCAUUUAUUUUGAUUAUAAGAUUAAAUUACCUUAGGGAUAACAGCGUUAUCCUCCUUGAGAGUUCUUAUUGGCGGGGGGGUUUGCGACCUCGAUGUUGGAUUAAGGUUAAUUUUUGGUGUAGGAGCUGAAUUGAUUGGGUCUGUUCGACCUUUAAAAUCUUACAUGAUCUGAGUUCAAACCGGCGUGAGCCAGGUUGGUUUCUAUCUAUAAUGAGUUUUAUAUCUUAGUACGAGAGGACCGGGUAUUUGGAAUAAUUUUUUUAUGUGUUGUUUGUUAUUAAUAGUUGCUAUUUUGGCAGAUAAGUGCGUUGGAUUUAGAAUCUAUUAA
rnacentral:rRNA from 1 species